rnacentral:hammerhead_ribozyme from 1 species
AUCCGGCUGACGAGUCCCAAAUAUGACGAAACGCACAUCAAACUGGAU